rnacentral:sRNA from 1 species
GGAAGAGCUGUUAUUUCUGUGAGAUCUGCCAUCCUGUUUCCACCAUGGUUCAUUUGCAUAACCUGGCUGGCUAGCUUGGAUGUCCACAGUUGUCUACUACUUUUCUUAUGGUUCCAUGUGCGUCCUUCCUAAAGCUGAGCACUCGAUGGAAGAGGAUGGAUGACCUUGCCACAAUUAGAGGAGGGCCAUACUUUGGUCCAGAGCAAAUGGGUAACUGUGCUCCUCUGUCACAGCCUCCAAAUAAGCAGAACCAGAUUUCACAUGUCAAGUCAUACCUCCUCCUCACCAUGGA